rnacentral:rRNA from 1 species
CCCCUAGUAACUGCGAGUGAAGCGGGAAAAGCUCAAAUUUAAAAUCUGGCAGGCAUUUGUCUGUCCGAGUUGUAACCUAGAGAAGUGUAACCUGUGCUGGACCGUGUACAAGUCUCCUGGAAUGGAGCAUCAUAGAGGGUGAGAAUCCCGUCUUUGACAUGGACUACCAGUGCACUAUGGUUGUGCACUCAACGAGUCGAGUUGUUUGGGAAUGCAGCUCUAAAUGGGUGGUAAAUUCCAUCUAAAGCUAAAUAUUGGCGAGAGACCGAUAGCGAACAAGUACCGUGAGGGAAAGAUGAAAAGAACUUUGGAAAGAGAGUUAAACAGUAUGUGAAAUUGUUGAAAGGGAAACGCUUGAAGUCAGCUGUGUUGGCUGGGGAUCAAGCCAGCUUAUUUGCUGGGUGUACUUCCUGGUUGACAGGCCAACAUCAGUUUUGACCAUCAGAGAAAGGCUAAGGGAAUGUGGCACCUUUACAGGUGUGUUAUAGCCCUUGGUUGUAUGUGAUGGAUGGGACUGAGGACAGCAGCGUGCCACAAGGCCGGGUUUCGACCACGUUCACGCUUUGGAUGUUGGCAUAAUGGCUUUAAGCGACCCGUCUUGAAACACGGACCAAGGAGUCUAACAUGCCUGCAAGUGUUUGGGUGGAAAACUCGAGCGCGUAAUGAAAGUGAAAGUUG